GUGCCAAGGCCUCAGGGAGCCAGACGGCUGCUGGCAUCUAUGGAGAGCAUCAUCUUUGUCAUGUGUGGGCUGUUCGACAUUGGAGGGACCCUGAAGCACUGUGGCCUCAUCUUUCUCUCUAAUUCCCUCCCUCUUCCCUGCACCCCAAAGUUUAUCCUGAAGCUACCAUCAGAAAGAGACUUCAAGAGAAUCUUGACACCCCUGAAAGGAAAAGACACCAGUAGAAAGAGGUGCGCAUCUCCUGGACAGCCCCGAGCUUGCAGGGACCAGACCUUCCGACCCCAUCAUCCAAGCUACGUGAACCCUUUGAAUUUGAACUUCUAAAAACGUGGGCACAACCUUUUUCCAGACUUCUCAACGCAGGCUACCCAGGACAAGCUGGGCCAAUAACGGAAAUAUACAGGAACCCCUCUGACCAAGAGACUGUCCCGCUGACAUCAGAACUGCCCAGGGGGAGCACCAUGGAAGGCGACUGUCUGAGCUGCAUGAAGUAUCUGAUGUUUGUAUUCAAUUUCUUCAUAUUUCUGGGUGGGGCCUGCCUGCUGGGCGUCGGCAUCUGGGUCAUGGUGGAGCCCACCGGCUUCCGGGAGAUCGUGGCUGCCAACCCCCUACUCAUCACGGGCGCCUACAUCCUCUUGGCCAUGGGGGGCCUGCUUUUUCUGCUCGGCUUCCUGGGCUGCUGCGGGGCCGUCCGGGAGAACAAGUGUCUGCUGCUGUUGUUCUUCCUGUUCAUCCUGAUCAUCUUCUUGGCGGAGCUCUCGGCGGCCAUCUUGGCCUUCAUCUUCAGGGAGAACCUCACCCGCGAAUUCUUCACCAAGGAGCUCACCAAGCACUACCAGGGCAACAACGACACAGACGUCUUCUCUGCCACCUGGAACUCGGUCAUGAUCACAUUUGGUUGCUGUGGGGUCAACGGGCCUGAAGACUUUAAGUUUGCAUCAGUUUUCCGACUCCUGACUUUGGAUAGUGACGAGGUGCCGGAGGCCUGCUGCCGGAGAGAACCCCAGAGUCGGGACGGGGUCCUGCUGAGCAGGGAGGAAUGCCUCCUGGGAAGGGAUCUGUUCCUGAACAAGCAGGGCUGUUACACGGUGAUCCUCAAUGCCUUCGAAACUUACGUCUACCUGGCCGGAGCCCUCGCCAUAGGGGUGCUGGCCAUCGAGCUUUUUGCCAUGGUCUUUGCCAUGUGCCUCUUCCGGGGCAUCCAGUAGAGGGUGUGGCCUGAAGAUUGAAGACUCACCCCACCCACCACUGCCCAGCACCCAAUGCCCUCCCCUCCCCCUCGCCCCUGCCCUCUUGGCCCCGGGGGAGGAGGUGAGGCCAUGAUGGGUGGCUAGGAAAUGGGGCAGAGGAAAAUAGCUAUUUUUUUAACAAAAAAAAUGAAGGCAAAACUAUGGACUGAUGUAGCCCAUCUGGACUCCGGAACAGGCGCCAUGGGGUUCCCCGCGGGGGCCCGGGCACCUGAACCCAGGACGCAGCCUGCACUAGAGACCAAAGCAACACCAGGACCAGGCCUCCUCCUUGGUGCAGCCAGAUCAAGCAGCCCGGGACCUGCGCCCUCAACUCACAGCUUCAGGAUCUGGUGCCAAGGAAGUAAUAAGGAUUUAGGCAAGAAGGAGGCAAAAGAAAAUUGUGGAGAAAGGUUGGCAAAGCCCGCGGGCGCCGAGGAGACCUGGUCACCAUGUCCUUGAGGGCUUGGAGCCUACGUGGAGUCCCCGGUCCUCCGAGGAUGGAGUUGUCCCUGCCUCAGGCUGGGGCCAAGAGUGGGCCGCAGAUGCUGGAUCCAAGGAUGGCCCAGCCAGUAGGGUCCGUGCUUCCCCAUCUGUUGGAGCAAAUCAUCUGGAAAGCCCAGAGAGGAGCAGUUUCUCAUCCACAGUCACACAGCACAUGCGUGACAGUUCUGAACAAGAACUCCGCCAUCCCCAGGCUGCCUGUCACUCCUUCCAGGGUUCUGUUGGUCCCAGCAGACCUACUGCUCACACCCCUCCCUGGCCUCUGCAUCCUGGUUUCCCCAGAAGAGAGCGGGCAAGCUGGUCAGGAAUUGCCUCUUCCCGGCUCCACAGCUAAGAAAAUUCUGGACUCUGCCCUCCCUGGUCGCCCUGCCACCUCCCCACACUUUUCUCUAAGUCCCAGGAACACACACACAUGCACACACAACACAGCCCGUUUUCUACACUGCCCACUUUUCCUCCACCAACUCCACCAAUUCCCUGGCCCCCAGCGCUGGAAGGAACCCCCAAGAUCAUCUGGUUCUCCUCUCCUCACUCAGAACUGCCACUCAGAUGUCUUCCACAAGAUCCCUGCCAAGACUUCUCCACCUUCUUCUCGCACACCUCCAAGGACGGGGAGCUUACUACCUCCCAAGACAGGCUUCUCUUUGGACCGCUCUGACUUUAACAUCAGCUCAAUACACGGAAGAGGUUCCUGUUU
rnacentral:lncRNA from 1 species